rnacentral:misc_RNA from 1 species
AAUAGAAAGUUGACAAAAAUAAAUGUUAAUGGAUUGUUUUUUGAAAAACUGGAAUGAAAUUCAUACUGGCAAUGAUGUUUUAAUCAAUUUAAGUUGCGCAAUAGAUGCAUUUGAAAAUCUUCCUGAUAGCUAUCUAGUUGAUCUUGAAUUUUGUGAAAGUUUUUGUUCAGCUAAAGUUAUACAGCAGGCUGUUAACUUUGUAAAGCAUAAAGAUAAGUUUAUAAGCUAUACUGCUGUGAAGUUUAUGUCAAUGAUUUUUAAACGUCUUCCAGAAACAACUUUGUCUGUUAAUAUCAGCUUUGACGAACUCCAAAAUGUUGAACUUAGCAUCCAUAUCCUCAGAGUAAUAUAUAAGCAGUUUAAAAAAUGCUCUAUAAUGGAUGCUGCUAAAUUUUGUGAACUUUUUCAUAGAUACAGUAAAUAUAUCAAUCAGGUGAAUCAAUUAUGUAUAUCAUUGUUGGAUCUCAAAGAAACUAUUGAUGUACAUGAUUUGAUAUUAAUAUUGCAAUGUUGUACUUUAGUAUUCAAAAUUUAUCACAAAGUGAAAUUGAGUUCUCUGAAUACAGAUAAUUUAGAGUUUAUGUUCAUUGAUAAACUUUUUAAAGCCCUAAAUGAAUUAGUUUAUCGGUUAGUUAAUACGAGUGAUGUAGAGUGCAAUGUAGGGUGCAACAACAUGACAUUCAUAACUAAAGAAAAACAGCAUCUAGUUUGGAGACAAUAUUAAAGUGGUUAAAUCCAAUUUUACAACUACAUUCAUUGAAAAGAACUCUACUUGUAUUGACGAAAACACAGCUCGAAAGUUAGUUUUGUUUGGAGUUAAAACUAUGUUGUUUGAGUUACCAGAUGUGAAUAACUUAGACGAAGUUGAUUUAAUACUAAAAAGGUUCCUGAAUUUACUAUCUAAGAUUAAUGAUUCGAAAUCAGUGAUUUCUAGUUUGAUAAAUACUUUCAUCGAGCAAGAUGAUGAACAAGUUCUCAUUUUAAAACUGUUGCUUUGUUUAUUUAUAAAGAGCAGAAAGUUGACAAAAUUAAAGAAUUUUCAAUACAUCAACCCUCAUUUGCUGUUUGCGACAUUAUUAAAUGCGUUGUUUUAUGACGAACUUGUUCUGCUUGAUUGGUUGGUAUCUGUUGAGGUGGAUUUUUUAGACUAUUUUAAACUUUAUAUAUCUUUUAUUAUAGAAAAUUUUGAGUUUUUUGUCAAUUCUUUUGAUACUGAUGACUAUGAAAAAAACCAUAGCAAAAAUAAAAAUUCAUUACCGAAUAAUCUUGUUGAAAAUAUAAACUCUGCAACGCCAUUGGUAACUUACAGUUCUUCAGAUGAUGAAGAUGAAGAUUUCGAUGACAGGAAUAUUAAAGAGAUAUCGAUUCAAUUAGAUAAAAUUAUGUCGUGUUUUAUUAGAUUGCGAUUAAUGCUUGAGCGUAUGAACAACCAGAAUUUACUUUCAAUUGAAGUUACUUCUAUAAUACAUCUCUUAGAAAAAGUUGAAGAUUUUUACGAUAAAAAAUUUUCCUAAUCAAUAGCCGUGUCUUAUAGAAAUCUUAUAUCCAAGAUACUUUACCAAAGGUAUAAAGUACAUCAGAGAAUACAAAAAAAAAAAAAAAAAAAAAUGUCCAAAUUCUUAAGCAGAUGGGUGCUGCUCGUCCAAGUUAGUUUGUGAGUAUUUCGU